UACGGUGGGGGCAAGCGUUGUUCGGAAUUACUGGGCGUAAAGGGCUCGUAGGCGGCCAACUAAGUCAGACGUGAAAUCCCUCGGCUUAACCGGGGAACUGCGUCUGAUACUGGAUGGCUCGAGUUUGGGAGAGGGAUGCGGAAUUCCAGGUGUAGCGGUGAAAUGCGUAGAUAUCUGGAGGAACACCGGUGGCGAAGGCGGCAUCCUGGACCAACACUGACGCUGAGGCACGAAGGUCAGGGGAGCAAACGGG
rnacentral:rRNA from 1 species